rnacentral:rRNA from 1 species
UACGUAGGGGGCAAGCGUUGUCCGGAAUCAUUGGGCGUAAAGCGCGCGUAGGCGGCCCGAUAAGUCCGCUGUGAAAGUCCAGGGCUCAACCCUGGAAAGCCGGUGGAUACUGUCGGGCUUGAGUACGGAAGAGGCGAGUGGAAUUCCUGGUGUAGCGGUGAAAUGCGCAGAUAUCAGGAGGAACACCAAUUGCGAAGGCAGCUCGCUGGGACGUUACUGACGCUGAGACGCGAAAGCGUGGGGAGCAAACAGG